rnacentral:rRNA from 1 species
GACGUAGGGCGCGAGCGUUGUCCGGAUUUAUUGGGCGUAAAGAGCUCGUAGGCGGCUUGUUGCGUCGACCGUGAAAACCCGGGGCUCAACUUCGGGCUUGCGGUCGAUACGGGCGGGCUAGAGUUCGGUAGGGGAGACUGGAAUUCCUGGUGUAGCGGUGAAAUGCGCAGAUAUCAGGAGGAACACCGGUGGCGAAGGCGGGUCUCUGGGCCGAUACUGACGCUGAGGAGCGAAAGCCAGGGGAGCAAACGGG